ensembl:lncRNA
CUUAGAUUUUGUAUAUGCGUGAGCCCGCCAGCCAAAGGUGCUGCUGGUAGCGCGGGCGGAGCUUGGCAACCGGGCCGCAGGCCCGCGGCGCGCGGGGACAGAGUGCAGCGCCCUGCCCCGAGCAGCGGGCUCGAUCCUGGCGUGCGGGAAGAUAAGGGGAGGAGCGGCCAGGGUCCUGGGAUCCCCGUGGGGUCCCAUCUGGUGGAGGACCCCGAGGGUAGCCCGAAGGCCUAGCUUUUCCGUGGUCUUACGAGACCAAGAUAAAACGUAUCUUGAAAGUCCAUGACAGUGCAGCGUUUUCUGAGUUUCACGUCCGUGUUGGCUUUCAUCAUAAAGUACUGUCCAUUAUCACGCCAGCUAAGCAUCUGCUUUAACUCCCAAACUUUGGGUAAAAUAGACCUGAAAGAAACAACAGCAGUUUGCUAGGCGCCUUGUGAAUUUGUCAUUCCUCGCGACAGCCUUGCGACGCCUUCCAGUAUCGCUCAGUUUUAGCAGCGAGGGCCCUUAGCACGGAGGGUGAGAGGUGGAGCCAAGGCAAGCUGGACAGCGGAGUCUCACCUGGGUGUCCCCUGACCCCCGCGGAGAGUCUGGGGUUUCUGGCGGCUCCAGGCCCCAGACUCGGCUGGAGAAGGAAGCAACAGCCAGCAGCCCACCUGGGGUUUGGGAAGAGGGCCGCCCCCUCUUGCUACCUCACUGUAUUCCACAGGGCUCCCAAUAGGGGGAACACGAAGGCCCAAGAUGGCUGCUGUUGCCUCCAACCUGCUGCUGGGCCUGGAAGGAUGAGGGUGCUGGAGUGGCUAGAAGUCCAAAAUUGAGUUACUGUGUCAAAAAGAGAAGGAUUUCAUUUCCUGGGUACUGAAGGCAGGAAGAAAAGGCCAUGCAGAGACUGACAGCGGCAGGGAGCCCCUUGUCCACCAGGGAAGGAGAAACAACAGGAAAUGUCACAGUUCCCGAAUCCAGGGUGCAGCAGCCCUUCUGAGACGGAAGCAAGCCCUGGGACCAACAGCACAACGGCAUAGGACACGUUCCUCCUGGAGCGUUUAUUGUCUGGGACUUGGCAUGAUACACUGGCCAGGCCUGAAAACCAGAAAGCCACCUGAUCCCAGCUGGACACCACAAUCUGGGCUGCGUAGACCCAGCUCUGGCUUUAAGAAGCCCCAUGCACACCCGAAGAGGAGCAGAUUCUCAGCAAUGAUAGCCAAAUUAGGGAGGUCAGCAGUCAUCUUAGGGUGUGUCAGCAUAUCCUUGCUAUGUCCUCAACGUGGGUUGCCCGGGUUCCAGGCUCCAAGUAGGCCAGCCAGGCAGCACCCAAUGUCCUCCUUGAAAGGUGGGGGGGCCCUCCUCGCUGAAGUGCUGACCCGCUACUCUGUGUCUGAUGGUCAGAUUGGGGCAAGCUAGGCUCCAGGGUUUGGCAGUGAGGAAGUAGGCAGGAUUGCCCCUGUAUCUCUUCAUGUGCCCUGGGCCAUUGGGGGUCACGCUGGCAAGCAGCCCUGUCCCCCUGGCCUCACCUGUCUCUGAAAGGGUCAGUUUCUUGGGGAGAGGCCCCCAUCUUUGCUUGGCCCCUCCUGACAGGUGUAUCUGUUUCGCAGGAGACCCAUGAGAGAGAGUGAGUUUCUCUCCAGGUGAUAAUACCUGUCCCCCCAACUCAGGUGAUGCUACUAGGAUGGGCAGAAGCUCCCAGGCCUCUAGUGCUCUUGGGCCCUUUGUCUACAGCCCUGCCUGCAAACCUUGAAAAGAGACCCAACUCCUCCCUUGGAAACAGGGGCCCUGAGGGUCCCUGGGGGCUGGAGCUGGGCCAAGCCUAAUGAAUACAUCCCGCAG